UAUUCCCAGGUAUUUUUCCUCCAGGUCAUACUGAGGCCAAUGGACCAAGCCCUCCCCGUUGGGAUUUCUGGAAAUAAAAGAAGGAAAAGUUAGCUCUCCAUUUGACAAUCCAUUGCUGUCUGACUGCUCAGGUUCAGAGCAUUUCAGAAAACCAGCAGGUGCUUUAAAAAGACCUUUAAGAAGAGAAAUUGCUUCAACAUUUCUCUUCAAUUCUGUCAAAUUUCAGGAAGCACCAUAUAAGUACUGCUUCAGGCAGCACCUCCUGCAAAGGGAGAGAGGGAAGGGCCACAUUAGAAAGUAACUAAUGAGUAUCAGCUGUAUCAUUGCAACACUUCUCCUGGUUGCCAUGAGCUGUUGGAGGUUUUUCUAGGAGAGACCUGCAGAUGAAUGAUGUAUUGCAAAGUAUCUGCUAGUGAAGACAGAAGAUGCUUAUGCUCAUAAUGAGGCUUAUGAUAUAUAAGGUAUGCUAAUAAUAGACAUAAUGUUUGUAAUGCUUAUAAAGAGAGAAAUUCUAUUCUAAAGCCAUGCAGUAAUUGAAAUAAGAAGUAAUGAGGGUCUAAAAGGAAGAUGGA